GACGAACGCUGGCGGCGCGCUUAACACAUGCAAGUCGAACGGAAAGGCCUGCUUUCCCUUGUGGAUUGCGGGUACUCGAGUGACGAACGGGUGAGUAACACGUGAGUGAUCUGCCCCCAACUUGGGUAUAAGCCUGGGAAACUGGGUCUAAUUCCCGAUAGGACUGCAGGGUGGUGCCUGUGGUGGAAAACGAUUUUCUAGUGGUUGGGGAUGAGCUCGCGGCCUAUCAGCUUGUUGGUGGGGUAAUGGCCUACCAAGGCGGCGACGGGUAGCCGGCCUGAGAGGGUGGACGGCCACAUUGGGACUGAGAUACGGCCCAGACUCCUACGGGAGGCAGCAGUGGGGAAUAUUGCACAAUGGGCGGAAGCCUGAUGCAGCGACGCCGCGUGGGGGAUGACGGCCUUCGGGUUGUAAACUCCUUUCGACCGCGAGGAAGCCACCUGGUUGGAAGGGUGGUGACGGUAGUGGUAGAAGAAGCACCGGCUAACUACGUG
rnacentral:rRNA from 1 species